UACGUAGGGGGCAAGCGUUGUCCGGAAUUAUUGGGCGUAAAGAGCGUGUAGGCGGUCCGGUAAGUCAGCUGUGAAAGUCAAGGGCUCAACCCUUGAAAGCCGGUGGAUACUGUCGGGCUCGAGUCCGGAAGAGGCGAGUGGAAUUCCUGGUGUAGCGGUGGAAUGCGCAGAUAUCGGGAGGAACACCAGUGGCGAAGGCGACUUCCUGGCCUGUUCUUGACGCUGAGGCGCGAAAGCUAGGGGAGCAAACGGG
rnacentral:rRNA from 1 species